CAACAGCUGCUGUGCACUUUUUGACAAGUACAUGUUAGAGCUGUUUUUUCUUGGGCUCUGUGCAGAGUUCUGUGCAAGUUCAUCAGAGUGCUGAAGGGCCUGUGUUGGAAAAGGCUGAAGAGUCUUCACUGGAAGCCUGGAGACAGAUAUCCAAAGGUGACAGUGAAGAUUGGAGCUCCUACAGUAAGACUUCCUUCUUCUUUUACCUCUUAUUCUAUUCAGGCUAAAGCCUAUCGAUUGGGGCCACCCAUAUCCAAGGUAGGUCUUCUCUCUUCAGGAAAUCAAUCAUCCACACACAUGAAGAACUGUGCUAAACCAAUCUGCUAGGCAUUUUUAUUUAAAUUGACAGUAUAGUUAACUAUCACAAUCCACC
rnacentral:lncRNA from 1 species